UACGAAGGGGGCUAGCGUUGCUCGGAAUCACUGGGCGUAAAGGGUGCGUAGGCGGGUCUUUAAGUCAGGGGUGAAAGUCCUCGGAGCUCAACUCCAGAACUGCCUUCGAUACUGGCGAUCUUGAGUCCGGAAGAGGUGAGUGGAACUCCUAGUGUAGAGGUGGAAUUCGUAGAUAUUAGGAAGAACACCACGUAGGCGAA
rnacentral:rRNA from 1 species